UAAUGUACAGGUCAAGACUCUCAUCAAUGC
rnacentral:piRNA from 1 species